UCCGAGUUGUCCCCGGCAGUCCCCUUAGAGUCCCCGGCAUUACCCGCUGGCAACUAAGGGCAGGGGUUGCGCUCGUUGCGGCACUUAAGCCAACACCUCACGGCACGAGCUGACGACAGCCAUGCAGCACCUGUGCUGGCCCCUUACGGACACGGGCUUUCACCCGCUUUACCCUGCAUGUCAAGCCCAGGUAAGGUGGGGAUGACGUUAGAGAGUACGUCC
rnacentral:misc_RNA from 1 species